AUUGAACGCUGGCGGCAGGCCUAACACAUGCAAGUCGAGCGGAUGAAGGGAGCUUGCUCCUGGAUUCAGCGGCGGACGGGUGAGUAAUGCCUAGGAAUCUGCCUGGUAGUGGGGGAUAACGUCCGGAAACGGGCGCUAAUACCGCAUACGUCCUGAGGGAGAAAGUGGGGGAUCUUCGGACCUCCCGCUAUCAGAUGAGCCUAGGUCGGAUUAGCUAGUUGGUGGGGUAAAGGCCGACCAAGGCGACGAUCCGUAACUGGUCUGAGAGGAUGAUCAGUCACACUGGAACUGAGACACGGUCCAGACUCCUACGGGAGGCAGCAGUGGGGAAUAUUGGACAAUGGGCGAAAGCCUGAUCCAGCCAUGCCGCGUGUGUGAAGAAGGUCUUCGGAUUGUAAAGCACUUUAAGUUGGGAGGAAGGGCAGUAAGUUAAUACCUUGCUGUUUUGACGUUACCAACAGAAUAAGCACCGGCUAACUUCGUG
rnacentral:rRNA from 1 species